rnacentral:rRNA from 1 species
GAAUUCCUGGUGUAGCGGUGGAAUGCGCAGAUAUCAGGAGGAACACCGAUGGCGAAGGCAGAUCUCUGGGCCGUAACUGACGCUGAGGAGCGAAAGCAUGGGGAGCGAACAGGAUUAGAUACCCUGGUAGUCCAUGCCGUAAACGUUGGGAACUAGAUGUGGGGGCCAUUCCACGGUCUCCGUGUCGCAGCUAACGCAUUAAGUUCCCCGCCUGGGGAGUACGGCCGCAAGGCUAAAACUCAAAGGAAUUGACGGGGGCCCGCACAAGCGGCGGAGCAUGCGGAUUAAUUCGAUGCAACGCGAAGAACCUUACCAAGGCUUGACAUAUACCGGAAACGUCCAGAGAUGGUCGCCCCGCAAGGUCGGUAUACAGGUGGUGCAUGGUUGUCGUCAGCUCGUGUCGUGAGAUGUUGGGUUAAGUCCCGCAACGAGCGCAACCCUCGUUCUAUGUUGCCAGCACGUUAUGGUGGGAACUCAUAGGAGACUGCCGGGGUCAACUCGGAGGAAGGUGGGGAUGACGUCAAAUCAUCAUGCCCCUUAUGUCUUGGGCUUCAC